AGUGAACGCUGGCGGUAGGCCUAACACAUGCAAGUCGAACGGCAGCACAGUAAGAGCUUGCUCUUACGGGUGGCGAGUGGCGGACGGGUGAGGAAUACAUCGGAAUCUACUUUUUCGUGGGGGAUAACGUAGGGAAACUUACGCUAAUACCGCAUACGACCUACGGGUGAAAGCAGGGGAUCUUCGGACCUUGCGCGAUUGAAUGAGCCGAUGUCGGAUUAGCUAGUUGGCGGGGUAAAGGCCCACCAAGGCGACGAUCCGUAGCUGGUCUGAGAGGGUGAUCAGCCACAAUGGAACUGAGAAAAGGUCCAGACUCCUAAGGGAGGCAGCAGUAGGGAAAAUUUGGAAAUGGGGGGAAGCCUGAACCAGCCAAGACGCGUGGGUGAAGAAGGGCUUCGGGCUGUAAAACCCUUUUGGUAGGGAAGAAAAACAGGCAGGUUAAUCCCCCGCGGUUUGAAGGUAACCAAAAAAAAAGCAACGGCUAACUUCGUG
rnacentral:rRNA from 1 species